UACAGAGGUCUCAAGCGUUGUUCGGAUUCAUUGGGCGUAAAGGGGUGUGUAGGUGGCGCGCCUAAGUCGGGGUGUGAAAUUUCGGAGCUUAACUCCGAAACUGCAUUCGAUACUGGCGUGCUUGAGGACUGGAGAGGAGACUGGAAUUCAUGGUGUAGCAGUGAAAUGCGUAGAGAUGUGGAGGAACACCGAUGGCGAAGGGCAGCCCCCUGGGUCAAGAUUGACGCUCAUGCACGAAAGCGUGGGGAGCAAACAGG
rnacentral:rRNA from 1 species